UAAGAUGCUUCUCAUUAAAAGACAAAAAUCUUUCUUUAGAAAAAGUCUUCAUGUGGGGCAGAGUGUUCCUUCCAGACAAGCCAUCUCUGAAUCCAAGUAUGAAGUGAGAUUCAGACAGGACAGCCCGUACAGUCAUCUGUAGGAUUCGAGCCAGAUGGCAGGAGUGAGAAUGACCUUUGAUGUGGAUGGUUGGCAGACACCCAGCAAGAGACCCCUCCUCGCCCCCAGAGACUUCCCCAUGGAGCUGCAUCUCCCAGCAGAGGAAAGCCCAAGGUAAUGUCUGUGCUGCAAGCCCACCUGUAUGUGGAUUAUCCCUCU
rnacentral:lncRNA from 1 species